rnacentral:rRNA from 1 species
AGAGUUUGAUCAUGGCUCAGGAUGAACGCUAGCUACAGGCUUAACACAUGCAAGUCGAGGGGAACGACAUCGAAAGCUUGCUUUUGAUGGGCGUCGACCGGCGCACGGGUGAGUAACGCGUAUCCAACCUGCCCAUCACUUGGGGAUAACCUUGCGAAAGUAAGACUAAUACCCAAUGAUAUCUCUAGAAGACAUCUGAAAGAGAUUAAAGAUUUAUCGGUGGUGGAUGGGGAUGCGUCUGAUUAGCUUGUUGGCGGGGUAACGGCCACCAAGGCUACGAUCAGUAGGGGUUCUGAGAGGAAGGUCCCCCANAUUGGAACUGAGACACGGUCCAAACUCCUACGGGAGGCA